rnacentral:rRNA from 1 species
GACGAACGCUGGCGGCAUGCCUAACACAUGCAAGUCGAGCGAGUAGAUCCCUUCGGGGUGAAGCUAGCGGCGGACGGGUGAGUAACACGUGGGCAACCUGCCUCAUAGAGGGGAAUAGCCUUCCGAAAGGAAGAUUAAUACCGCAUAAGAUUGUAGCUUCGCAUGAAGCAGCAAUUAAAGGAGCAAUCCGCUAUGAGAGGGGCCCGCGGCGCAUUAGCUAGUUGGUGAGGUAACGGCUCACCAAGGCGACGAUGCGUAGCCGACCUGAGAGGGUGAUCGGCCACAUUGGGACUGAGGCACGGCCCAGACGCCUACGGGGGGGAGCAGUGGGGAAUAUUGCACAAUGGAGGAAACACUGAUGCAGCAAUGCCGCGUGAGUGAUGACGGCCUUCGGGUUGUAAAGCUCUGUCUUCGGGGACGAUAAUGACGGUACCCGAGGAGGAAGCCACGGCUAACUACGUGCCAGCCGCCGCGGUAA